rnacentral:rRNA from 1 species
GCACAAUGGGCGCAAGCCUGAUGCAGCCAUGCCGCGUGUGUGAAGAAGGCCUUCGGGUUGUAAAGCACUUUCAGCAGUGAGGAAGGCGGAGUCGUUAAUAGCGGCCUCGUUUUGACGUUUAGCUGCAGAAGAAGCACCGGCUAACUCCGUGCCAGCAGCCGCGGUAAUACGGAGGGUGCGAGCGUUAAUCGGAAUUACUGGGCGUAAAGCGCAUGCAGGUGGUUUGUUAAGUCAGAUGUGAAAGCCCGGGGCUCAACCUCGGAAUAGCAUUUGAAACUGGCAGACUAGAGUACUGUAGAGGGGGUAGAAUUUCAGGUGUAGCGGUGAAAUGCGUAGAGAUCUGAAGGAAUACCGGUGGCGAAGGCGGCCCCCUGGACAGAUACUGACACUCAGAUGCGAAAGCGUGGGGAGCAAACAGGAUUAGAUACCCUGGUAG